UGAGGCAGUCAGAGCAGCUGGCCUGAAAACUUGGGGAAAGAGAGAAGAACAAGAAUCAAGAAAACCUUCCAUAGAGGAAGAUGUCCCUGUGAAUGAAGGGGUCCCCAGGACUCGUAAGUAAACACGCAGCCAUGAAAGGAGUGCCUGGAAAGCUCAAGCAGAAAGCCCAGCCUCAGCGCUGGCUCCACAGAGCGCCUUUAACUGGGAUUAAGAAAGUCAACUAAUGCUUCCCAGCACCAGGAUUUCAGCAGCACGGAGCCUCCCGAGGCAGAGAACCGCGACGGCAAAUCCAGCAGGAUCUCCAGGCAGCAGCUGCCUCUCCGUGCAGAUGCCGUUCGAGCCCGGAUUUAUGUGCAUCCCACUCCUGCAAACCAGCUGCGAACCCACCGCGCCUCCCGUUCCCGGACAGUGAGCGCUGCCAAGCCGUGGCUGCUCCCUGCCUGGGGCCAGCACCGGCGCUGCGAGAGCCUCUUCCUCACCCCAUGCAGGUGGAGCGGUGGCACGGCGCUCCCGGCACAUUCCCAGAGCUCCCGGCACAUUCCCAGAGCUCCCGGCACAUUCCCAGAGCUCCCGGCACAUCCCGGCUGACCAGCAGAUGAGCCAGCGCAUCUCCCCAAACGAGGCGUGCUGGGGGAACAAGGGCCAGGACUCGAGAUCGCUCAGGGAGGCGAGGAACCCGUGGAGGACACAAGCUGUCUGACACUUCUCAUUCCAGCAGGAGCAGGCACCAGGAACCCUGUGCAAUAAGGUGUUAGUGCCAUGUGCAUGGAUGUGACCCCCUUUGGAGCAAUGGGCAGGAGGAGAUUGCUGAAAAUUACGCUGUAUGCCAAUCUGAGUAGCUGUAAAUAAAAAGCUCUGUUAACAACAGAGGAAAAUGCUUUAGCAAAUUGA